rnacentral:rRNA from 1 species
UGGGGAAUAUUGCACAAUGGGCGAAAGCCUGAUGCAGCAACGCCGCGUGAACGAUGAAGGUCUUCGGAUCGUAAAGUUCUGUUGCAGGGGAAGAUAAUGACGGUACCCUGUGAGGAAGCCCCGGCUAACUACGUGCCAGCAGCCGCGGUAAUACGUAGGGGGCUAGCGUUAUCCGGAUUCACUGGGCGUAAAGGGUGCGUAGGUGGUCCUUCAAGUCGGUGGUUAAAGGCUACGGCUCAACCGUAGUAAGCCGCCGAAACUGGAGGACUUGAGUGCAGGAGAGGAAAGUGGAAUUCCCAGUGUAGCGGUGAAAUGCGUAGAUAUUGGGAGGAACACCAGUAGCGAAGGCGGCUUUCUGGACUGCAACUGACACUGAGGCACGAAAGCGUGGGUAGCAAACAGGAUUAGAUACCCUGGUAGUCCACGCUGUAAACGAUGAGUACUAGGUGUCGGGGGUUACCCCCCUCGGUGCCGCAGCUAACGCAUUAAGUACUCCGCCUGGGGAGUACGCACGCAAGUGUG